CAUCAUGAAUGGCGGCCGGUCUAGAGCCGGGCCUUGCCACGGGCAUCUCGUCAGAUUCAGGAGCGGCGCCCUAAAGAAAAUAGUCCCCGUCCCAGACGCCCAAAGCCGGCAUCAAUCACCAAAGGACGACUUCAGCCAUCAUAUCCCCCCGCGAAGCAACCGAUGGAAACGGAUUCCUUCUCUAUACUACCGCCUACUUACGUGUUUGAUCGUAUAAAGAAGGCCGAGAUCUCGCCGCCUGGAGUAUUUAUCCAACGCAAAAGGUCUCGCGAGAUUUGCUCAACGGCCGCGUGAUAUUUCCGGAGCGAGAGCCAAUGCGCAGGCGCAGGAAGGCUGGUCUAUAGUCUGCCAGUGGAGGGGAACCCCGGAACGAGCAUGAUUUUGCAAAAACGUAUAAAAGGUGGUGAAGGGCACGCACGUGGUGGCAUUUUCCCACUGGCACGGCAUUACCGAAGAAGAGAGCAUCUUGAACAACUCAGAGAGAGAAGUGGAGAAGCUGAUUCAUCUUGUACUGGGAAAGAGGAGUUGGAACAGACAACGAUCCUUGAGGCUGCCUUCAGAUUGCAGGGGAUCUGACCUUUUGUUGCUCUGGCAUGCCAUUCUUUUUGCACUGAUCAAACAGGCUAAUGUAGGAGUGCAUGGGGUUCAUCAAAUUCUUAAAUAGGGGGAAAGUAACUGAAGUGUAGCUUGGAGAGUAAAGUUUGGUAGUCUUGAAUUAUAAGUCUUUGUAAGGUAGUUAUUCAGUUGGUACAUGUGGGUGACUGAUGGGAAGGACUGUCUAUUAUUUUACAAAUAAAAUCAAACUGACAGUUCACUAUGCUGCUUGAGUUUUUAUGUACUUUGUUGUUCUGGUAGUGGGUAGGAUUUAGUCUUCAAGGUUGUGUGGGUGAUUCAGUCGGCUUUUAUGUUUGAAACAUGGCUUGCUGGAUACAGUCAGCUACGUCUUAUUUUAUCAACGAUAUAUAGAUAAUAAACAGGAUUAUUCUCUCA